UUCUAAAACAUUGUAUUGUAUUACACUAUUAUAGUGAAAAAAUAACACAAUAACUCGAGACUUCAAAACUCUAGGUUAAACAAAAUAACACGACAUAAUAACUCAAAGCUUCAUAACUCCAGGUUAAACAAAACAACACGACAUAAUAACUCGAGGCUUCAGAACUCCAGAUUAAACAAAACAACACGACAGAAUAACUUGAGGCUUCAGAACGCCAAGUUAAACAAAACAACAUGACAUAAUAACUCGAGGCUUCAGAACUCCAAGUUAAACAAAACA